AUAGAGUUAAUUUUUAGCACUUCUCUUUAAAAUAGUGCUUUGUAAUAUUCCUUGAUUCUUUUGAGCCAUUAAUCAGUUCCAUUAACCUAAAAACAGUCAUAUUACAUACCUGUUAUUAUUUGUUUCCUAUAAUGGAAGUUUCUUUUGCCAUCUUAAACUUUAUUGGAAAAUUACUGCUUUCAUAAUGUAUUUUCAUUACUAUACUCUUUUGGUAAAGGAAUACAGUACAUUGUAGUAACUGUGAUUAAAGUAAAGAUCAGUCCAUUCCUAAAACUUUUUCACCCUUCCUAAAAGAUAGGAGAGAAUUUUGAAUUCUAAGCAUACCAUCCUUUACUUCCUCUGAGGCUGUGUUUUAUAGCAGUAAAUACUCUAUAUUGAUUACGAUUUAAUUCUAAUGGAAGUAUACUAAGUCUGGAAACACACUAUAGCUUAGUAUUUAGUGCCUCAAUUUUUAAACAGUUUUUAAAUUUUAAAAAUUUAUAUAAUUGCCCCAAAUAUGCUUCUUUUAUUGGAUCCAUAUCAUGCUUUGAAAAAUAUUCUCCUUUCAUAUCUUUUCUAAAGAUUAUUUUGUUCACAGUGUAUUUUUCCUGGCACUUCAUUGCUAUUUUUAUAUAACUGAAAAUCUGUCAUUUCCAUUUUAGCUCAGUUUGGAAAUAUGAAAACCAUAUCAGAGCAACACAUUAAAGAUUAGUAUGAAGGAUAAAAAAUUAAUGGAAGAGAGCCAUGUAGAGAUUUUAAAUUUAGUCAAAUUAUUCAAGUGUGCACUUUUAAUCCAUUAAUCUGGUUUGAGACUGCUUAAGAGAGAGAUUUCUCUCUAAACGAGAUUUUUCUCUUUCAAAACACAUUGAAAAGUCUCUCAUAUAAAACACUACUUUUAAAAUUUUGUUUUUCAAGAGGUUUUUUUCCUUUGAAGAGUGAAGGAAGAGUUUCCCUAAUAUUCUGCUGUAACUUAUUCUUAGUCAAAAAUAGAUUGCCAUGUACACACUAGAUAUUAAAAGCCAGUUACAGUCAUUAAAGGUGGUCUAAUGCUGUGUAGUGAGAUAUUCAAUACAAGAUUUAUUUUUAAGCUAUUUCAGGGCCAUGAGAGAAAUUGUUUUCCUUAUAAAGGGAAUUCUGUAUUUCAUCAUUUGUAGAUUUUUUUUUAAUAAAUAUAAAACAGAGAAGGGAAGAAUGGGAGCUGGUUGUUCCCUUGAAUCCUAAUACAGUAUGUCUUCUUAAUGAACCUGCUGCAGUGCCCAGAAAACAGCUCCCUGCAAAUAAACAUGCUAGAAGUGAUUUAGCCACAAUGUCCAGACUGUGUAAACAUCUAAUUAUUACAAUAAAAUUGUCAAUAAAUUUACAUUACUGCUCCCUUUUCAAACAUUAACCAACUUUUUCUUUCCUUGAUAAAAGAGCAUAAAUUGUAUUUUUAUGUGUUGGUGUUUUUGUUUUCAUUACACUUCUUGCCAGACUCUAGACAAAAGACCUCAAGCCUUAAUGCCCUGAGUUAUUCCUGGAUGAAGAAAACUCCUACAGUUGUUUAUUAAUGUAAUGUGCUGUGUUUCCUUUCACGGGGAGAUGGCCUCGGAGCCCUCACAAUCUGAUCUUUAGUCAUGGCAUUAAAAAAAAAGCCAUAAAGCCAGUAUGGCAGUCACUGUGACUUUAAGAGAGACACAAAGAAUUAAGGCUCCUUAUAAUCCACUAUUAGAAUGGAAAUUUAAGUUACAUUAGAAGCAAAAGAUAAAAUGGUAAAAUGCAAUAAUUUCCUUUAACAAAGAUUACGUCCAGUUUUCAGAAUUAUGAUAUCAUGUUGAACAUAAUUGUGGAAGCACCCCCCACACCCCGUAUUUCUUAUAGAGCUGGUACAUUAACAUUAGAAAAGCAGAAUGAUAUUGAAUUCUAAUGAGGUCUGGCCUAUAUGCUCUGCUAGGAAAAGAAUGAGGAUCAUUCAUUUGUAUUCUACAAAGCGCUCGGAAAUCCACGCGCAUCCCUGUGGCUUCAGUGCGUGGUGCUGAUCAUCUGUUCCUAUUGGGGGCGGGUGGUGGGGGUGGAGGAUUCAUUGCUCUGAACAGCAUCUGAGCUGGGGAAAAUGGUUAACCACUUUCCUUAGAGGUUGUUUCCUAAUGACUGUUUAAUAUGGUUACUCUCUUAUAUGCAUUUGCUUUACCUGUUCUCUUCAAGGAUCUUAAAAAUUGUGAUGCUUACGUUGAUGACAACAGACCUCUGUAAAAGCCAAACAAAGAAAUUCAGUAGAGUAAAUGUGAUUUCACCAUCCUCGGUAAACAUGUCGGUUUUAAGUAAACAACAAGAUGACAGUGAGGUAUUUUGUUCAUUAAAAAAAAAAAUCUGAAAAAUGCUCCAUUUGAUAUGAUAUUGGCUGUUCAGGAAAAACUGCAUUCAUUUGUGAGCCUUGCUGACAUUCGGAGAAAACAGCCCAUUUUGGAAAGUUAUAUUUAGCCAAACCAAGGAAUGAAAGAUUUUAGCAAAUUGCCACGUAAAAUGAUCUGCACAAAAAGGCAUCAGGGAAGUGAGCUAAGGCCUGUGCCAAACAGAUGGCACCCCCUGCUGUGUUUUUGAUUGAAAAAGAAAGGUAACAUUUGCAGCCACGUCAAAGAGACAGUGAUCAGCUAAACAAAUUGGUCUCCGAAGUACCCCAUCGCUGGAGCAAACCCCGCUGCAGGGUAUGAGUGAGGCUGUAUUUCAAAAUAAUGCUAUGUUUGCGUCUUUCCUAAGUGAGGGGAUCUAUCCCCUUUUCAGGCAGCAAAGGGAAGAUAAGGUCUUUGUUGAAGUCGACUGUGAUAUUAUCUGCAGCAUAAGCAGUUGAGCUCAGCACAAGUGCCCGUUUUCUCUGUCACCAUCACCGGCUGCAAGAUGAUAUUUGGGAAGACCCCAGCAGCUUUCACUCUGAUCCUCACUCAGCUGUGAAAGGUCUCUGGGGUUUGCAGAGAAGAAAUAGGUAUAUGGCUUACAAAAAACACAAAAGGCCAAACAAAAAAUGGGAACAACCCCAGAUCAUUACAAAGGCACCCUUGGAGGAGGUAGGGAAGUGAUCAGGAAAAAACUCUUCUUGCUCUGAAUUCAGUUCCCAAAUACAAACAUCACGAAUGGCAAAGAGCAUGUCAGUGAGCAAGUGUGUGUGUGUGUGAAGGAGGGGGAGAUUUUUUUUUUGGCUCAUCUCAGCUGGCAGCCUUAUUCCGCUUCAGUAAAGACAAGAGUCUUUUGGUUUAAGAGAAGAACUGCUACCGACCUGCUCAUCUGGGUUUUGGAAAUUCAAGAAGGGCUCACGGGAUAACCUUGGUUCCACUGACCUAAUACAGGGAAUAUCAAUAAUGUGAUCAACUGAUACAGAAAUGAUCCUGUUUUGGAGACAGGUCACAAAGCUUGUCCCAGUCACCCAGCGCAAAGGUGACAGAAUGAGAACUAGAAUUCCAGUUUCGGCACACCAGGCUUUCUACCAAAGCCAUUGAGCAAAAGAGCCAGUUACAACCCUUCAGGAGUUGCUCCAGCCAACUCAGCCCCCAAGAGAGAAAGGAGCACCAGAGACAGAGACCGAGCAGAGUGGAGAGAAUUCCCAGGCCUGAACACGAUACCCCAGUUCUUCACCUCCCUUCCCUGCCAUUUUCCCAUGUGCACUAUGCUGUUCCCCUGGGACUUGGCCAAUCCCGCCUCUCGCUGAGAAGGAAAAGUAAAGGAACAAUAUCCGUGGUCUCCCUUGUCUAGUCAAUGGAACUGGAAGUUAAGAACUGUUGAUUUGCCUGGAGUCAGCUGGCAACAGAGAACCAUCAAGAGCGUCCAGUUCCAGGACAACAGACAGCGCACUCAAGGAUUUUGGAGAAGAGCAGCUAUACAUUGGUAACUGGCACAGUGACAAGCUGUUAAUGGUUGUGAAUUGGGAGUACUUUACACUAUCCUUGAACUCUUCUGUAUGCUUGAAAUUACUCGUGAAUGUAAAAACUGAAAUAAAAGAAUAUCAUUAGCUGAAACUGGCCAAAAUAAAAAUUUUAAAAGGACUGUUGAUUUGGAAAACCUGCAUUCCACACCCUGCUCUGCCACAAAGUAACCAUGAAACUUUGAAUGCUCAUCUGGAAAAUAAGAAUGUAAUAAUGAUCCCAGGUUCCAGGAGAUAUUGUAAACAUCUGAUAAUUUAGUGAAGAAUUUGUAAAUAUAAGAGCAGGAUCUCAUAUGUUCUUAGCAGCAUUGGUCACAACAGCCAAGGGCUAGAGGCAACCCAUGUCCACAGAUAAAUAAUGUGUAGUAUAUACACACAACAGAAUAUCGUUCAGCCUUUGAAAAGGGAAGAGAGUCUAACACAUGCUACAGCAUGGAUGAACCUGGAGGACAUUUCGUUAAGUGAAAUAAGCCAGGCACAAAAGGACGAAUACCAUGUGAUUCCACUUAGAUGAGGUACCCGGAGCAGUCAGAUCCAUAGAGGCAGAAAGCAGGAUGGUGGUUACUGGAGGAGAAUGGGGAGUUACUGCUUAACAGGUAGAGUUUCAGUUUUGCAAGAUGAAAAGAGUUCUGGAGAUGGAGGUGGGGAUGACGGUACAACAAUGUGAAUGACUGUAAUGCCACAAAACUGUGCACUUAAAUGUGGUUAUGAUGGUAAACUUUAUGUUAUGUGUAUAUAUGCUAUGUGUAUAUAUGUUUUGUUAUUUCCUUAUCAUAUUAAUGUGGAUAUUUAUUUUGUGUGUAUUAAUUUUAUUCUAGGUUAGAAUUCAGUUCUAAUGUUAAGUAUUUUGUUGCUCAGAUUGUUUCAGCUUUUGUCUCCUUCAUA